GGAGAGAAGUAUUGAGGAGCACACAGCCACAAAAGCGGUGUAUAAGAUUUCUUUUUGUGUUUUGCUUCGUUUAGCUGGAGGGGUGAGGACGACGUCUCUGACAGCGGUGCCCGUUCCUUUGAAUUGGUUUGCGGCGUCGCCCCUGACCCGCUCCUUUCGCUCUGUGAGCGUGUUUCCUUCUUCAGCUCAAGCUUAGACGCCACUCUCUCCCCUAUCCCCCCCCCAAGACGAAGGAGGAUGACGUCACGAGGGGAGCAUAUUCGACUCGAUAAGGGGGCACUGGUGAAGAACCACUACGAGGUCGUCACCUCCAUCGGCGCGGGCAACUUUUCGAAGGUGUACCGCGUCAUUGACCUGCAGUUGCCAGUAAAAGAUCAGCGACGUAAUCCACUGGCGAUGAAGGUGAUCAAGAAGGAGUACAGCAGCGAUGCCAAGUACGAGAAGCAGAUGCUGAUUGUGCUGCACGAGCACGACAAGAGCCGCAGCGCGCGUGUGUCGAAGAUGUACGAGUGCUUCGUUUGGCAGGAGUGCCCCGUGUUCAUUAUGCCGUUGCACGGACCAUGUCUGCGAAGUCGCCGCCUCGGCGUCAACCGCGGCGUCGUCACGUACGAGAAGCUGCUCGAGUUUAGCUACGACUUGCUGGAGACGAUGGCCUUUGUGCACUUCCAGUGCCAUAUGGUGCACACCGACCUCAAGCCGGAGAACAUCCUCAUCGCCGACAGAAACGUCGCCGACAACUCGAUGGGCGACGAAUGGGUUGUCUGUGACUUUGGGAGUGCGUCACUCUGGCGUAUGGACAAGCUAGACUCAGACCUCAUCUCCACGCGUCCGUACCGCGCACCGGAGGUGCUGCUCGGCAACAAGUGGCACUACGCUGCCGACAUGUGGAGUAUAGGCUGCAUCCUCUACGAGGUUGCCGUCGGCCACCGCCUGUUCGAAAGCCGUGAUGACCUGACUCACUUGCACAUGAUGGACCGCCGCAUUGGGCGCUUGCCGGAGGCCUUCGCGAAACAUUCCAAGUACUCGAGCAAGUACUUCAAUUCGCGAGGCGACUUCCUGUCCACCCCAGACGCUAUUCGCUUUUCCAAGUGUCGGCUGACGCCAAUACGCGAAAUGUUCAAAGAGGACCGUGAGUUUCUUCAUUUGCUCAAGGGGCUCCUCACAUACAACCCAGAUGAGCGCAUGACAGCACCCGAGGCGCUGGCUUUGCCCAUCUUCGAUAGGGUCCGCGUCGCUCGCAAGGAGCGACAGCGACGGGCGGACGCGGCUGCCGAGGAAUGUCGACAGUGCCACCACUCACCCGGAGCUGUGGUUCCCGGAGACGGCAAGGGCCUGCGGCUUACGGGCCACAUCGACCACAACACGCUCGAACACAUCAUAGCCGACGCGAAGAACGGCUGCACCUCGCACAGGCGCCACCACCACCAAAAUCACACGAAGGAUGAAACGAGCGGCAACAACAUGGCGGAUAGCCGCUUAGAGGCCGCUACAAAUGCAGAGACCACCCCCGCUCCAGGACCAGCAGCAGCGUCGCCAGCCGUCGGCUCCUCGCCGCAGCUUGACAGGCAGGCGUCUGCUGGCACUCCCAGGGACACCGCAGCCAUGACGACUACCGCCACCACGUCAGCUGCUUCGGCAACAGCCGAGGAUACGAACAGCUUCGCUGCCCCUAAUGUCUCUGCACCGUCCGCGGCGUCGCUGAGUAAAAAGCGGGUUUCCAAGGCGGCCAAAGUUCGCGGGCGGGCCGCCAGCGUGCCCGUAGUGCAAGGUUGCAGCAGCCAUCACAGCGGGAGUCCGUUGUCGAGAGUGGCGGUGGUGACCAAGGAGGUGCCGCACCAACGCCCGUGCGUGAACAGCCACCACUCCACCUCCACACGGAGCUCGGCGCUCGUGCCGCAGCUUGCUCUCCACCGCUUCAAGACGUCAACCCUAGCUUCCGACCAUGACGCAGCACCGCUGCCGUCGAAGAGCGGGCAGCGCGGCAGCGGGCGGUCAGGUGGGAAGCUCUCGGGUCGCUCCGUGUCUCCGGGGAGCAAAAACCGUAGAAGUACACCACACAAGGAUACCAGCUGCGGUUUACAGCACGGCUGUGGCAGCAGUGCAGCGGGCGAUGGCGGCACCCAACUGAAUGCGUCGAGUCCGCUGAAGAGCCCCCAUCAGCGUCUUCAGCUCCGCUCCGGUGCUGCCAAAAGACCAAAUCGCACGCCGUCACGCUCGUCAGCCACGCCGUACCGCCUGCUGGAAACUCUCUCUCCGGCCAUCACGCGAUCACCGAGGAUGCUGUUGAAGGCGUCAUCGGCGGCUGGGCCGUCUCUGGGUCACAGCAUCUGCAUCUCAGACAUCAUCGCCACGCCGCCGAAGCAGGCGUUUCGUGCCGGAGCACUGCGGAGCAGUUCCGCCGCUGGCCGCUCUCCUCGCAACCCUGCCACGGCGCUUGGCUCCAGGUCGCACAAUAGCGUUACCAAGGAGGGUGAGGCAGGUAUGGUGACCACCUCGCCGCUCGGGCCGUCUGUGGCGGCGCCGAAAGCACUUCCUCUGCCGGCGGCGGCGACAGGGACGAAGACUCCGCGCCAGCAGUCGCUGUCUCCCGACGCGCCUCUAGGUUCUCAGUCGCCCCUCCAGCGCGGCGUCACGGCGGUGUGCAAGGACAUGCAAACAAAGUCGCUUGUUGUGCGAGGCAGCCCGGAUGUCGAUGACAAGUUUGUCGAUGUCGGCGAUGCAACCAAAGGCCGCAGCCAAAAGGCUACUAGCGAUGAUGCUGGCGACGAGGGCGACCAUGGCCUCAAGCAGGUGGGAUCGCCGCUGGCGACUUCGCUGGCCGUUAUGGGGGAUGAUAAUCCCGACAAGGUCGGCGACGGCAACGACGAUGAUGACGACUCUUCGCUUGCGUCACCGAACGCGCAGCUCAGGGACUCCGUUGCGUCGCCGACAAGCGAGAACUGCCUCGGCAGCUUGUACAACUCAGAUGGCAGUCCCCGCGCCACUGACUACCGCAGUCCCGCGCGCUGCCGCCCGCCCGUGGAGACAUCGACGGGCGACACGUCUGGGGUAUCGUCGCCUGUCAUGAUGAGCAGGUCAAACGCGCGGUUGAGCAUUUCAAGCAGCGAAUGGCGAGGUGUGGAGGUGGCACCAGGGGUGACCCUCGCUACGGCGACGGUGAAGAGAGGGCAGCGAAGCUUCGCCGCUGCUCUUGCGACACCUCUGCCGCCGUCCCAGCACAAUCCCCGGGCGUCACAGCUGAGCGAAGUGUUCUACAGUCCACGCGAGCUUUCGCCCUCUGCGCGGUCGCCGUCGUCUCUCACGGGCCCACGAUCCACCACAGCGGGCUCUGUCGCGUCCCCGCCUGCCGUGCAAACUGUUGAAUCAGACGAGAAUCCCCAUGAGCUGUUCAGCACCGUCCCCCUCUCGCGCGCGCAGCUGAGCAGAGCGAACAGCUGCAGCGGCUCCUUCGGUGUCACGCGCAACGCUGCACCGGCGUCCACAGUGGAUUCGCGGUCUCACAUGGCGCCUCCAUCAACGUGCACCACAUCUGCUGUCGGCAGGUCAGCGCGUGAGUUACCGACUGCAAGAACCUCAGUGUCAGCGACGACAGUGUCGACGCCGGCCGCGCCAACGCACGUGUGCCAGGCGUCCUCCUCAGCAAGCCAGCUUGCCAUGGUGACGGCGUCGGUGGGCCGGCUCAAGUCGGUGCCGCUGCCCGACGUCUCUGACGUGCGGGGCUCCGCAUCACCACCACCACCAUCCGUGACAGCAUCGCGGCGCGCCGCGACCAAGCCGGGGCCGGCACCCGUAGCGGCAACGUCCGCGCCGGCACCUGCGUGCCCAUCACUUGAAGAAUCGACCCCUGUGGCACCCAUGAACUCCAUGGCAAUGUCGCGACUACCUGCCGCUCUCACUCGCUCCCGCGAGCUGUCACUUUCCCAGGAUAAAGGGUGCCUUGCAAACCCCGACACUAUCGCGAGUCCGCCACUGUUGGCGGCGGCGGCGGCCACCCCAUCGACCGGAGCCGCGGGUGCCGCAGCGGUGCUCCAUUCGUCGCCGCAUCUCCCCUACCAGCCGACCCACGGCCUUGUGCACCCCUCCGGCAGCAACAGCCACGUUCUGUCGGAGACGAAGGCAGAGGAGGCGAAUUGCAAAACUGAAUCGCAGCCGCCGGGCCUGCACAUGCCAUGGAGGUCUCUGCUGCUGCCGGACCACUCACCUACUUGUGUGUCAUCGCCGCUGCCGGCCAUUGCCGCCGCUGCACCAGCAACCGUGACGCCUACUUUCACGCUGCCUAAUAAGGUUCAUGGGGCAGGCGAACGGCACGAGGCUUCGACUCGCAACAGCGGCAGGAUCAAGGUGAAGUCUCUGAGCGUGCAGCACCCCCGCACAUCACCUGGUCCGUCGCCGCGACCCCCGCCCUCGUCGUCGAGCACCAACAUCUCUUUCGAUGUGGCUGCGGGGGCAAAGUGUUCCGGCUCGACCACGGCUAACUUCACCAACGCUGGCACCACCAGUCGUCUGAACAGCAACUUCAACAAUGGCGGGCCCAAGAAGUUGGGCACCGCCACGUCGCAUUACCCGGCUGCCACCUCGGGCUCGUCUAUGAGCACCUCUUUUCAGGCUGUGUCGCUGUCGCCGCGCAACGCGACUGUACCAGGGGCAGCAAACACCAACUCGCUGCGCUCAUCGACGAAUGGCGUGAGUGCAGGGCCUGUGCGCAGUCCGCAUAGCAGCGCCUCUGCGACUACGUCGCCAAAGAUAUCAGCGAUGUACCAGCGCACCGACUCUCCCCGUGGCAUCCCGCCAGCGCUGAUGACCACCGGCUUGCCCAUCAGCGCGAUCGGCGGGGAAGUAAUGCCGGCUGUGACGGUGCCGCUGCCGGCGCAACCGCACCACCAGCUGCCUUCACAGGCGCAGCAGCAGCCAUCGACAGCGGUGGCGAGCACUGGCGCGGGCCCGAGCAAGUCGUCCAUUUCUAUAGUACCACGCCACAUGCGGUCGGGAGUAGCGUCAACGCGCAGCUCAAUACAUCGGCAGCCAUUGGGCACGCCUGUAGCGUCCACUCCCCGUCUGAAGGCUUCAGACUCGACUGCGGCAUCAGCGAGCCUCAAGACCAACGCGGCUGCCAUCUCAUUGCCGAAGCAAGCCUGUAAGACGAGCUCUGGUACCUUGAACACGGUCAGCUCGCGCGGCAGCACGGCCAACGCGCCUGUGAAUACGAUUGGCGCGGAUGCCUUGACUCGGCCUACAGCUUCGCAGCUCAAGCACCGCCGCGACGCCCGCACUCUGAGGCGCAUUAUUGUUCCUCGGCCCUCGACGUCCUCCCUCUCCCAAGCCAGCCGUGCGGCGUCGUCGUCGUCGCCGGGUGCCGAGGACAGCGGCGAGCAGACCCGCGACACCUCCGAUAACUCACAUAUUUUAAAGCAGUACGACAGGGACCUGUCGUCGUGCUCUUCUACGACGCCGAUACCGCUACCCUAGACGCGUUUAGGGGACGCCCUCCGCCCUCGCCUUUUCUCUCCCGCCAUAAAGGCAUCACGCGUUCCACCGUGUGGCGAACACGGCGGAUCAGCCGACCGGCUAAGUGCUUCCCAUCUUUUCGGUUUCAGCUCUCUCUCUUUGGCCCUCUUCCCAUUUCCUCGGCCUUUCUGGAGCGCUCAGGACGAAAUAGACAAGACAUGCACGAAGCGGAAGAGGCCAAUAUGCAAGGCUGCUGCUACGCCGUACUCUCCCGCCUGCGUGUUUCGCCAUGUAUGUGAGUUCGACUGGUGUGUGUGUUUUUUCUUUUUCGUUUUUGUUCUCGCUUUACUAUUCUGCUUGCUCGUCACAGUACGGGUUUUGUCUUUUGCUGGGUUCUACCUUUUUCUUCUUUGCGCCUCGGCGGCGUAUGCGCGCGCGCGUGUGUGUGUGUGUGGGGUCGAUGUCGUUGUUAUUGUGAUCGUUGCCGCGACUAAUGGGCGCGCGUGUGCCUCCCCCUUGUUUACAUACCCACACGGUUGGGGCGGGUCUCGAUUUUGUUGCCCAUCACAUGCAUCGUCUUCGCCGGCACAUAUUUUUCGUUUUGUUGUUCUAAAGGUGAGCUCUCUCUGGAUUCUAGCUUCCUACGCUUCUUUCCGUGCUGCCUCUUCACUGGGUGCCACGUUCCUCUGCUGCGUCCGAGCCUCUCCCCUCUCCCACCUGUCUUGUCGGUCUUGGUUAGAUGUUUGUGUCUUCAUGUGUGUGUCGGUAUGUGCUCGUCGGCCCUUCGCCUCUCUGAACUCCCUUUUCCCGCGUUUCGCUUCCAUUGCAUUGCGAAAAUGUUUUAUUAUUAUUUCGUAUACUGCACAGCGUUAUCAAGGCCCCUCCUCCUCCCUUGUGUGUUUUUGUCUGGGUUUCUUCUUCUUUUCUUCUUGCUGCUUGUCGUUGACGAUAGCGGAGGUGUUGCCUCGUGUGAUUUAUCUUUUCAUUUCAGUUUCCAUGCCCGUUUCCCUCACUGACUCGCACGCACGCACGCUCUCUACAUCUCGCUCUUGCUUGUUGAUCUCCGAUCGACAAGCGCGUUUCUCUGUUCCUCCCGCUAUCUCUUUGUGUGUGCGUGUGUAUAUGGUGGUUGACCCACUCGAUGGCGAUGACGCUGCUGACGUUGAGUGAAGGCGACGGGCUCCUUUCUCUCUGCUGCUUUUCUUUUUUUGCCGUUCAUCGCACUGCCGGUGAGUGUUUAAUGAUGGCGAAACGGUCCACCAUGCGAUGACGGUGAUGGUGAAGUGUCGAUGCCUUCGCAUGAGUGCACGGGCAUGCGUGCAUGCAAGCGAAGUUAACGAGGGAUUGGCCGAGAGGGGGGAGAGGGGUUUCAGAACCACAGCGAAGGAGAGAGGAGGGAGACUCGAAAAUUCCUUAAGCGACCUGACGUGCUGUUCGUUGUCCUUCUCUCACUUUUCGCGCCCGCUUCUCCUUUUACAUUUGGGUGGGGCAUUCGGCCGACGCGGUUGUCCGCGUGCGCCCACGCUUGCCCACUGUGUAUAGAUGACCACCACCACUACCACUACCACCGGGGCGACACAAAAAUUUUUACGAAGUCGAAACAAGCGCGCAUCCGUAGCCGCUGUAUCUCAUCCCUUCACCCCUUUCCUGUUUGCAUUCCUGUCUCUUCUCCUUUCUGCCACGCUCUGUGGGAAAGACCAAAGGCUUUGUGUGUGUCUGUCUCACGCAGCACCACCAUGCAUCUCGCCUCGUGGUCUUUUUUGAAUAUAUCUUUUCCUCUGCGCGUCUGCCUCUCUCUCUCUGUAG
rnacentral:misc_RNA from 1 species